rnacentral:sRNA from 1 species
UGUCGGCAAGGCAAUCAGCACGGGCGUCGGGGAAACUCUGCGCCCGUGCACGCAUGUUGAGGGCAGAUAACAAGCA